rnacentral:rRNA from 1 species
GACGAACGCUGGCGGCGUGCUUAACACAUGCAAGUCGAACGGUAAGGCCCUUCGGGGUACACGAAUGGCGAACGGGUGAGUAACACGUGGGUGAUCUGCCCUGCACUUCGGGAUAAGCCUGGAAACUGGGUCUAAUACCGGAUAGGACCACUGCCUGCAUGGGUGGUGGUGGAAAGCUUUUGCGGGGUGGGAUGGGCCCGCGGCCUAUCAGCUUGUUGGUGGGGUGAUGGCCUACCAAGGCGACGACGGGUAGCCGGCCUGAGAGGGUGACCGGCCACACUGGGACUGAGAUACGGCCCAGACUCCUACGGGAGGCAGCAGUGGGGAAUAUUGCACAAUGGGCGCAAGCCUGACGCAGCGACGCCGCGUGAGGGAUGACGGCCUUCGGGUUGUAAACCUCUUUCAGCACCGACGAAGCGCAAGUGACGGUAGGUGCAGAAGAAGGACCGGCCAACUACGUGCCAGCAGCCGCAGUAA